rnacentral:lncRNA from 1 species
GGAACUUCAUGUCCUGAUCUUUAGGAUCAAGGGACUUCAUACCUGAUCCUUUUGCGUGAUGGAACUUCAGGUCCAAUCAUUUUAUAUGAUGAGGAUCAAGAAACUGCAGGUUCUGAUCUGAUCAAUGAACUUUAGGUCCUAUAUAUACUCAUUGUAACAAAAGAUAAGGACAAUAAAUAAAUUAAAGCAAUAGGCGGUAAUUCCAGCCAUAAUGAAUAAAUUGCAUUUAAGUAAAUAAAGCUUGUGACAAGGGCUUUAAUUCAGCACCAUCAAAGCUUAAAGCAAUAGGCGGUAAAACCGUCCAUGGUAAAUAAAUUUCUUUAAAGUAAAUAAAGCUUGUGACAAGGGCUUUGAUUCAGCACCAUUCACAUAAAUAUCAAAG